UACGGGGGGAGCAAGCGUUGUUCGGAUUUACUGGGCGUAAAGGGCGCGUAGGCGGUCAGCACAAGUCAGUUGUGAAAUCUCCGGGCUUAACUCGGAACGGUCAACUGAUACUGUGCGACUAGAGUGCGGAAGGGGCAACUGGAAUUCUCGGUGUAGCGGUGAAAUGCGUAGAUAUCGAGAGGAACACCUGCGGCGAAGGCGGGUUGCUGGGCCGACACUGACGCUGAUGCGCGAAAGCCAGGGGAGCGAACGGG
rnacentral:rRNA from 1 species